AUUGAACGCUGGCGGCAGGCCUAACACAUGCAAGUCGAACGGUAACAGGAAGACGCUUGCUUCUUUGCUGACGAGUGGCGGACGGGUGAGUAAUGUCUGGGAAACUGCCUGAUGGAGGGGGAUAACUACUGGAAACGGUAGCUAAUACCGCAUAACGUCGCAAGACCAAAGAGGGGGACCUUCGGGCCUCUUGCCAUCGGAUGUGCCCAGAUGGGAUUAGCUAGUAGGUGGGGUAACGGCUCACCUAGGCGACGAUCCCUAGCUGGUCUGAGAGGAUGACCAGCCACACUGGAACUGAGACACGGUCCAGACUCCGACGGGAGGCAGCAGUGGGGAAUAUUGCACAAUGGGGGAAAGCGUGAUGCAGGCAUGCCGCGUGUAUGCAGAAGGCCUUCGGGUUGUAAAGUACUUUCAGCGGGGAGGAAGGGAGGAACGUUAAUACCUUAGCUCAUUGACGGUACCCGCAGAAGAAGCACCGGCUAACUCCGUG
rnacentral:rRNA from 1 species